rnacentral:rRNA from 1 species
CCUACGGGAGGCAGCAGUGGGGAAUAUUGCACAAUGGGGGAAACCCUGAUGCAGCCAUGCCGCGUGUGUGAAGAAGGCCUUCGGGUUGUAAAGCACUUUCAGUUGUGAGGAAAGUUUAGUAGUUAAUACCUGCUAGAUGUGACGUUAGCAACAGAAGAAGCACCGGCUAACUCCGUGCCAGCAGCCGCGGUAAUACGGAGGGUGCGAGCGUUAAUCGGAAUUACUGGGCGUAAAGCGCACGCAGGCGGUCUGUUAAGCUAGAUGUGAAAGCCCCGCGCUCAACGUGGGAGGGUCAUUUAGAACUGGCAGACUAGAGUCUUGGAGAGGGGAGUGGAAUUCCAGGUGUAGCGGUGAAAUGCGUAGAUAUCUGGAGGAACAUCAAUGGCGAAGGCAACUCCCUGGCCAAAGACUGACGCUCAUGUGCGAAAGUGUGGGUAGCGAACAGGAUUAGAUACCCUGGUAGUCCACACCGUAAACGCUGUCUACUAGCUGUUAGUGAAUUUAAUUCGUGAGUAGCGAAGCUAACGCGAUAAGUAGACCGCCUGGGGAGUACGGCCGCAAGGUUAAAACUCAAAGGAAUUGACGG